CUUUCCCAGCCAAGGACUCGCAUGCCUCACUGGUAAUGUAAAUAGUCAGAUUACUAUACCUGUGUUCAACUAAAAGGAAAAUAAAGCAGUGAAGCCGCAGCCUUGCCCCGGUUAAGAAAGGUGCACUUACGUCCACAGUCUUCAGAGCCUUGUCUUCAGCCCAGUCCCGGGGCAGCUCCACCACCAUGUCCUCUUGAGGAACUGGAGGGACACAGAACAGCACAGGGACACAGAAAACCAAAUGGGAAUGUGCUGUUCAGUCUGUAGCCCCAAAAGAACAAUAGAGGACACCUGUGGGAAAGGCUGGCACUCCUUCUGGAAGAGCACUCCAGCUCAUUUUCACCAGUAAUUAAAACUUUCUUUUCAGGAAGGAACAGUUUCUGCUGAGGAAACUGCUCCCGAUUCCAGUUUUUAAUUUAUGUUGUCAUUUUUGAAAAACAUCCUUUUGAAUAAGAUAUCUGCUGGGAGAAAUUCAUCCAUCAAAUUAAAAACUGUUUCUAUGAACUGUCUGGAAUAAUUUGAACCUUUAUCUGAAUUCAGCUAGAAAAUAAAAUUAUGAAGCAACACUUUUAUCUCA
rnacentral:lncRNA from 1 species